rnacentral:rRNA from 1 species
GCCAGCAGCCAUGUCACCCUGCAACAUCCUGCUAAGCAGGUGUGAGCCUGGUCAGUACCUGGAUGGGAGACCUCCUGGGGAAGCUAAGGUUGCUGCUGGAA